GGGCGGGCGGCCUACACAUGCAGUCGAGCGGAAACGAGUUAUCUGAACCUUCGGGGAACGAUAACGGCGUCGAGCGGCGGACGGGUGAGUAAUGCCUAGGAAAUUGCCCUGAUGUGGGGGAUAACCAUUGGAAACGAUGGCUAAUACCGCAUGAUGCCUACGGGCCAAAGAGGGGGACCUUCGGGCCUCUCGCGUCAGGAUAUGCCUAGGUGGGAUUAGCUAGUUGGUGAGGUAAGGGCUCACCAAGGCGACGAUCCCUAGCUGGUCUGAGAGGAUGAUCAGCCACACUGGAACUGAGACACGGUCCAGACUCCUACGGGAGGCAGCAGUGGGGAAUAUUGCACAAUGGGCGCAAGCCUGAUGCAGCCAUGCCGCGUGUGUGAAGAAGGCCUUCGGGUUGUAAAGCACUUUCAGUCGUGAGGAAGGUAGUGUAGUUAAUAGCUGCAUUAUUUGACGUUAGCGACAGAAGAAGCACCGGCUAACUCCGUGCCAGCAGCCGCGGUAAUACAGAGGGUGCGAGCGUUAAUCGGAAUUACUGGGCGUAAAGCGCAUGCAGGUGGUUUGUUAAGUCAGAUGUGAAAGCCCGGGGCUCAACCUCGGAAUAGCAUUUGAAACUGGCAGACUAGAGUACUGUAGAGGGGGGUAGAAUUUCAGGUGUAGCGGUGAAAUGCGUAGAGAUCUGAAGGAAUACCGGUGGCGAAGGCGGCCCCCUGGACAGAUACUGACACUCAGAUGCGAAAGCGUGGGGAGCAAACAGGAUUAGAUACCCUGGUAGUCCACGCCGUAAACGAUGUCUACUUGGAGGUUGUGGCCUUGAGCCGUGGCUUUCGGAGCUAACGCGUUAAGUAGACCGCCUGGGGAGUACGGUCGCAAGAUUAAAACUCAAAUGAAUUGACGGGGGCCCGCACAAGCGGUGGAGCAUGUGGUUUAAUUCGAUGCAACGCGAAGAACCUUACCUACUCUUGACAUCCAGAGAACUUUCCAGAGAUGGAUUGGUGCCUUCGGGAACUCUGAGACAGGUGCUGCAUGGCUGUCGUCAGCUCGUGUUGUGAAAUGUUGGGUUAAGUCCCGCAACGAGCGCAACCCUUAUCCUUGUUUGCCAGCGAGUAAUGUCGGGAACUCCAGGGAGACUGCCGGUGAUAAACCGGAGGAAGGUGGGGACGACGUCAAGUCAUCAUGGCCCUUACGAGUAGGGCUACACACGUGCUACAAUGGCGCAUACAGAGGGCGGCCAACUUGCGAAAGUGAGCGAAUCCCAAAAAGUGCGUCGUAGUCCGGAUUGGAGUCUGCAACUCGACUCCAUGAAGUCGGAAUCGCUAGUAAUCGUGGAUCAGAAUGCCACGGUGAAUACGUUCCCGGGCCUUGUACACACCGCCCGUCACACCAUGGGAGUGGGCUGCAAAAGAAGUAGGUAGUUUAACCUUCGGGGGGACGCUUACCACCUAGGGGUUCC
rnacentral:rRNA from 1 species